AGCCCAGGGUGAAGAAGGCGUGACUAAAAAACUAAAGUUAGUUGAAGCAGAGCUGGCAAAGUUAAAGAUAAAGAGCUAGAACAUGAGAAAGAGAUGAAGAAUAAGCAGCUGCACCAAUCAACCGCC
rnacentral:sRNA from 1 species